CCUACGGGAGGCUGCAGUGGGGAAUAUUGCACAGUGGGCGCAAGCCUGAUGCAGCCAUGCCGCGUGUGUGAAGAAGGCCUUCGGGUUGUAAAGCACUUUCAGCGGGGAGGAAGGCGUUAAGGUUAAUAACCUUGGCGAUUGACGUUACCCGCAGAAGAAGCACCGGCUAACUCCGUGCCAGCAGCCGCGGUAAUACGGAGGGUGCAAGCGUUAAUCGGAAUUACUGGGCGUAAAGCGCACGCAGGCGGUCUGUCAAGUCGGAUGUGAGAUCCCCGGGCUCAACCUGGGAACUGCAUUCGAAACUGGCAGGCUAGAGUCUUGUAGAGGGGGGUAGAAUUUCAGGUGUAGCGGUGAAAUGCGUAGAGAUCUGGAGGAAUACCGGUGGCGAAGGCGGCCCCCUGGACAAAGACUGACGCUCAGGUGCGAAAGCGUGGGGAGCAAACAGGAUUAGAUACCCGGGUAGUC
rnacentral:rRNA from 1 species